AAUAAAGUGCCUGAACUAAAGGAUUAUUUUGAUAGAAUAAAAUAUGUUAUUUUUAACCUUUAUUU
rnacentral:tRNA from 1 species